CCGGGUGGCCGGGAUGUCCCUCCGGGCCGGACCCCGCUCAGCGGCAGCGGCGGACGGGGGGCCGAGCCUGGCCCAGCCCGUGCGUUCUGAGUGCAGGGUCAGGGGCUGCAGAGCGGGAUUGUGUUGGUAAGCUCAGCUGUCCAUGGGUGCUUGCGUGAAGAUACAGUUUAGUUAAUGGUUAAUCUGUGGUGUUGGUUUUAAUAAUUUGAGUAUCUUUAAUUAUUUGCAGUACUUUGCCAGAUGCUUGCGGUAGGCACUUCUCAGUGAACACAAUAAUUAUUAGUAAAUAAUACAGCAUUUUUUCUGUACUUUGCUGUUGGGUGAGGAGGCAGUUUGAAACUCUUUUCUGAUGAUCAAGAAAAAACACUGCACUUCCCUUAACAGCACAUUUUGCACAUGUCUGUCUUUAAAAAUAGUAUGAAAAUGUAUGUAAAAGCCUUGUUUUACCUUCUUUACUGUAGCAAGAUGUAGGUGAUGUCUCACUUUUAUCGCUAAAUUUAGUUGAAACACCAGAAUUUCUCUGAAAUAAAGGUAUAGAAGAGAGAGGAUCAGAGCAUUCUAAAAACAGCUUCUAAAAAUCCCCAGUCAUUGCGUGACUUGUCUCCAUGUUACCUGUUAACUCAUCUAUUCAGAGAGAUUCUUUGAAUACGGACCUGGAGUGAACAGUUGCAUGGCCAUUAACCAGGCUGAAACACUCCACACAGAUGUAAUUCCUGUUCUUCCAGGUCCUAUUUCCAUCUUGUAUUUCAGUCACCUGAUUUUGCCCAAAUGCCCAUUGUAUAUUACUACACUGGUUGAUAAAUUCUAUGAGCUUAGUGAAGUUUUGACAUCAUUAUUUUGUCCUAUAUAUAUUCAGAGGCAUCUCAUAUGUAUAGACAGAACAUUACCCACAGAUUAGAGUUCACGUCCCAGCUGCUAUGGCAGCACAAUGCUGAGAGUGAUGCCUGCCCUUCAGUUAUACCCAUUUAUUAGUAUUUUUGCAGAUUUUGUAAUGAAAUGUGAAAUAAAGCAUAUAUAAACACCAAAAGGACACAAAAUAAAAGCAGUGCACAGCUAUGUGUGUUUGGUGAUCACCACAUCACCAUUAGGACCAGCUGGCAAACCUGUUAAUACCUGUUUCAUUCAGCUCUCAUUACGAUAGAUAGAAGGCAUCUCCUAACAGAUGACUAUUUUACACCUAAGGGCAGUUGAUGGAGGAAUUUCUGUGUUGUGUGGGCACUGUCGCAUUCUUGUCCUCCCUGCUUCAGUCAAAAUGAUAAUAAAGAUUAUUACUUGGGAAAAAAAAAAUGCUGAAAGGAGUUAGAAUAUUACUGAGAGAGGAAAUGACCUACAGGAUGGUUUGUCCUGUGCAAGAGCGAUCAACUGCGAUAGCAUCAGCCAUUCCGAAAGGAAAGCAAGCGGCAUGUCUGGGGGGGAUGACCCGUCCUGCUUUUCAAAGUGGCGUCUGAGGAUAAGCUACAAUGGAUCCAGCAGUUCAGCCUCAACUGUGUUUGAAAUACACAGCCAGAAGUCAACGCUAGGGAAAACUGUUAUUUCAUUAAAAGGAAACCCCCCAAGGUGGAAGGAGUAGAUGGCUUAUUUAAUCGAUAUUGGAGGCAAAGUGGUACCCUUGAAAAGGGCAAAACCCCUUUACAAACCAAAGCAGUUACAUCAUGAAUAUGAAGAGUCAAAGACAGAGAAGAUUAACUCUGUCCGUGCAGCAAACACACUGCUUUGCUAUGAACAAACAUAUUUCUGUAUCUCGGAAGGAGUUGCUGCUACCCUUGAUUCAGAUCAAGGUCUAAGUCCUGAAAUUGUUUGUUACUCUAAGCACAUGAAGAGGCCCCACAGGAACCAUUCACAUGUGAAAAGAGCUAGGCCCAGAGCCAAAGUGUUGCAUACUGUGAAGGUCAAGCCUGCUUCCUUUCUAAAACUUGCACUUAACAGGAAAACUCUCAGAAAUAUGGUUUCCAUAGAGCACCUUUGGCUCAUUCUUCAGGAUGCUGGAUGAAGUCUGCGCACUAGCAGGUCCCUGUGACUGUGGUGCUGGGUGCCGUGGAGGCAGGCUGCGGCCUUGCAGAACAGGGGGUGGCCCUGCCUUUCCCUGAUUGCAAUUCCUGUGGUUCCUCUUCCCACAGACACUGAUUUUUUUUAUAAACUUCUCAAAAUGUAAGGAGAAAAGUCUCAUAGAUACUAUACAACUAUUGGCUCUACAGUCAUAAAAAUGCACUGCCUGUAGGACGAAUUCUCAGCAUUUUUGCAAAGGUCACUUGAAAUAUAUUGCAAGAGUGGCCUUCCUUUGGUCACCCAGAUAAGUCAUGGAGAGGCCACUGUAGAUGACAGUCUCAAAGAAAGAUCAUAAUUCACUUUUAUGUCUCUAUGCAAGAAAAUAAGAGACACAAGCCUUCCCUUCCCUACUGGGAAUGGGGCAUGUGUGGAAGCCGGUGCAGGGAACAAAAAAGAGCUACUUUCACCCGCCUGACAGAUAAGGUUGGAGGUCUGUCCCUCCUGAAGGCCUCACAUAGUGCUGCUUUAUUUCUUUUUUCCUGUCAGAGCAAUAGAAAAACUCAGAAAACAAAUUGCAACUGCAUUGUACCACAUCUUUUACCAGGAUUUUGCCUCAAUCCCAAGUAAGAGUUUUAUUCUCCAUAUACUUAUGUGAACAGUAGUUUCUUUCUCUUCCUUUUUGCUCCUUCCCAUUUACGGGAAAUGUAAAAUAAAUCCCAUUUGGGAUCUUUGAGCUCUAGCACUGUUUUUACUCCUGCUUCUCAAUAAUGGAAAUUCCCAAGUUUCACCUUCUGUAGGAGCAACGUUUAUCUAUGUCGCACCGUGCUUCAUAAAUGCCAAUUGACACUGCAUCUGGGCUUGGUAAUGAACAGGAACACAAUCAGUGGGGCUCAGAGUCUCCCAUUUUGCAGUGGUCUACAUAUCUACUAUAUAGCUACUGAUAAUACAUAGGAAGUUCAGACUGUGUUACUUUUAGAAGGGUCAUGAUUUCUAAAUACACACAUUUUGGAAGGAGAGCCAAGCACAGAGGCAUUUAUAGUCUAGCAGGGCUAUUGCAAGAACAAUUACAAUAUGGAGCUUUGGAGGUCCAGUACCUAACAGCGGGGGGUAGAACAUACUAAUUUUAUUAUCAUCUCGGCUGUCAAGUGACAAUGGUUUUUAAAUGUCAUGAAUUAUGUAUAAAAUACAUUAUUUUUUCUACUGCACAUUUGGUGAGUUCACACACAUGUACUGAAAGGGCAUGGCUUCGGCUCGGGUGCGCAAGACGAGAUGUCAGAAAGACUCAAAAUGGAACUUAGAGCACAAGCAGGAGCUUAUGCACCCCAUUCCAUGCUUGAUUACAUGUGUCAGGAGCUAUGAUAUCAAUGACAAUGCAGGUGAUAUUGUAAGACGACCUAAGUAAGAUAAAAAUCAGGCCGAGUCUUUAACCUAGGAAUUAAUGAAAUACCUUUUGUCAACUGUCCUUGAUAACAGGAAAUUACUUCAUAAAAAUCCACAGAAACUGUUCACUUACUUAAAUUAAUUUUGCAAACUUAACAAGUGUUAUGCUGUGCUGUUCUCUGCAUCUUUUAAGAGUGUUUGGGAAUUUAUGUCUUGCAAAAUAGAAACAAACUAAGAAAGCUGAAAUAUAUUGUGUCUUUUGCUGUACUUUACAGCACAGCUUGUGUUUAAGAAUCAGUCUAGACAUGCAAAAAUGCUAGAAUAAACAAUAUUUUUUUCAUUAUUUUAAAUUAGCUUGUACUGGAAAGCUAGAAAUUUCAGAAUGAUGCACACUAACAGCAUUGCAUAUCUCGUCAAAUAUUCAAAACAAAAGAGACUGAAAGACUAUUCUGUUACCUGCCAUUAUAAAUACAAAUUUCCUUCCAAGUUAAUGCAGUUACAAGCGAUCUCCUAUAAAAGAAAAAAUACACAUAAACCUUCAGGAUAUUUUACAGGAUAUUCCACUGAGUAGUAUGAAAAGUCAUAUCCUCCCUUACUUUAGUGACUUGUUUAACCCAUUUUAACAUAUAAACAUUAUUAAAUGUUAUUUAAUAUUCAUUAUGGGGCUUCAAAUAUUGGUUGGUCUUCAAUAAAUAUUUUUCUUUAUUCUCCUUUCAGUUGCAUUGUGUGUGCAAUUAAAGAAUAAUCAGCUGGAGCCAGGAUUGAGGUUUUGAAUGCAGAAGUGAGCUGGUUAUUCUGGAGAGCAAUGAUGGAAGUGGUCAUGCUAAGGUAUUUGAAAUGGAGAGAAGACUCUGAGAUGCUAUUGUUAGUGAAAAUGAAAAUGACAGUUGCACACAAUGAAGUGGUUGUACCUGGAUCACCUUGUGACAUUCUGUCUCACUGCAUCACGAACAGACAUGAAGAAUUUAUUUCGGGACGGAUUCGGGUGAUUUCGUACAGCAAGCAUCUGUAUGUAGUCGGCUGCAUUUCCCAUAGCAGAAUCACUAGAGGGAGUUCUAGGCAACGUUACUCCUUCACGAUCUCCAAUUGCUCUGCAACGACAAAAUUAGGAAAGGUUUCUGAUAAUAUUUACCAGGAAAAAUACACGAUAAUUUUCAUCACUAUAAUUUUAUUUCACUGCCUAGUUACUGAUUAUUUAUGAAGCUGGUUUAACCUCACAAGUUACCUGUCGCAAAUCAUCAUCUUGCUUAACAACCACAACAAACCAGCAAGAAAAACAUCCCACACAAGGCUUUACAUUAACAUAUUUCUCAAUUAGGAUUAAGAAGCACAGAUGCAAUGUUGAUAACAUACUCACAGGAAUUUUAGAGCAAACAGCAAAAGAAAAAUAAGAUAAAAGUAAAUAUUAGUUAAAAAUAUACUGAUCAGUCAUGUUUAAGUAAGACUUAGGCACCUUUGUCUAGUUCAGCCUAGCCUAGGACUUCUUUCCUCUUGGAUUUAAAAUGUAGAUUUCAGUGCAGUAGAAGAAAACCAGUUUUAUUCAAGUUUUAUAGCACUGUUGUUGUUGCCAAAGGAAGAAAAUGCUUGAUGGGGAAAAAUAAAACAGAGUGUUUGUUGUCCUAGACCAUUCCCAUGUUGAAACCAAGUUGUCAGCUCCAUCAUUUCUCAAAACUGAGGAAUUUGAGGGGAGAACCAAAAGAGAUUAAAAAUUGUUCUUAUCCUUACUCCUAGUAAUCUUGGAAUAAACCAAAAUAAUAUGCAGAACUCUACAGUGACAGAUUGCAGAUAAUGCAUUGAUUUAUAGUAAGACAACUGACAGAAACAAUUGUUUGUUUUUCUUAACACAUGGUUAUUAUUUUUCAUAACUAGUAGCUGCCAAUAUAGCCUAAAGGUCUUAAAUUCCCAUUUAUCCAGUGAAAUGACUGUGUACUCCAUUCCAGAGUGUCAUAAUAAACAUAAUUUAAAUAAACAAGCGACUUUGUACUUAGGGUACAUUAUAGUGAAGCCCAGCUUGCUCUCAAAAGCUGGCUACUUAUGCCUAUGAUUUGAAAAGCACAUGAGACAAGAACACAGAAGUGCCAUUUUCUUAGGUGGCUUUCAUGUGUAUGAUUAAAAUAUAUACGUGUGAUUAGCUGUACCACUAUGGCAGUUAUGGCUGUGUUUUCUUUUAUACAGACAUAAUGAUGUAAUAAAAGGUCUAGCAGUUGAUCAGGUGCAGAAAGGAUUUAUGUAAGAUUUUACCCUCCUGAACUCUUAUAACUAUUUUUAAACUGAUUUUAGUCAAUGAGUUUUAGGUUUUGCCACUUCAACUGUAUCAGUAUAAAUUGCAAACCUUGAGCAUGGAAGCACCCUAAGUUUCAUGAAGUCUCUCUGAAAAGUAACUGAAAAAUAAAGCCAGGACCACAGGGUGCCAGAAUCAAUCAUCACUGAUGUUCAAAAUUGUUUGACAAAGAAAUUAGACAUCAAGAGACUGAAAAAAACCCCAACCUAUUAAACCCAUAGAUGAUACAAGAGCAAUAAAUCUUUACACAUGUAAAGCAUACAUCCCUAGAGGACAUAC